GACGAACGCUGGCGGCGUGCUUAACACAUGCAAGUCGAACGAAAAGAGGGAAAGAGCUUGCUCUUUCCGGAAUUGAGUGGCAAACGGGUGAGUAACACGUAAACAACCUGCCUUCAGGAUGGGGACAACAGACGGAAACGACUGCUAAUACCGAAUAAGUUCCAAGGGCCGCAUGGCCCAUGGAAGAAAAGGUGGCCUCUACCCGUAAGCUAUCGCCUGAAGAGGGGUUUGCGUCUGAUUAGCUGGUUGGAGGGGUAACGGCCCACCAAGGCGACGAUCAGUAGCCGGUCUGAGAGGAUGAACGGCCACACUGGAAUUGAGACACGGUCCAGACUCCUACGGGAGGCAGCAGUGGGGAAUCUUCCGCAAUGGGCGAAAGCCUGACGGAGCAACGCCGCGUGAGUGAUGACGGCCUUCGGGUUGUAAAACUCUGUGAUCCGGGACGAAAAGGCAGAGUGCGAAGAGCAAACUGCAUUGACGGUACCGGAAAAGCAAGCCACGGCUAACUACGUG
rnacentral:rRNA from 1 species